rnacentral:rRNA from 1 species
AGAGUUUGAUCAUGGCUCAGAAUCAACGCUGGCGGCGUGCCUCAGACAUGCAAGUCGAACGCGAAAGUUCCCUUCGGGGGGCGAGUAGAGUGGCGCACGGGUGAGUAACACGUAGGUAAUCUACCUUUGGAUGGGGAAUAACAACCGGAAACGGUUGCUAAUACCGCAUAAUGCAGCGGCACCUAAUGGUGACAGUUGUUAAAGCGGGGGAUCGAAAGACCUCGCGUCUGAAGAGGAGCCUGCGGCGGAUUAGCUAGUUGGUAAGGUAACGGCUUACCAAGGCGAUGAUCCGUAACCGGCCUGAGAGGGCGGUCGGUCACACUGACACUGACAUACGGGUCAGACUCCUACGGGAGGCAGCAGUCGGGAAUUUUGGGCAAUGGGCGAAAGCCUGACCCAGCAACGCCGCGUGAAGGAUGAAAUCCCUCGGGAUGUAAACUUCGCAAGAACAGGAAGAAUAAGUAGGGGACAAUACCCCCUAUGAUGACGGUACUGUUUGUAAGCUCCGGCUAACUCCGUGCCAGCCGCGGCGGUAAUAC